rnacentral:rRNA from 1 species
GAUGAACGCUGGCGGCGUGCCUAAUACAUGCGAGUCGAGCGAACGGACGAGAAGCUUGCUUCUCUGAUGUUAGCGGCGGACGGGUGAGUAACACGUGGAUAACCUACCUAUAAGACUGGGAUAACUUCGGGAAACCGGAGCUAAUACCGGAUAAUAUUUUGAACCGCAUGGUUCAAAAGUGAAAGACGGUCUUGCUGUCACUUAUAGAUGGAUCCGCGCUGCAUUAGCUAGUUGGUAAGGUAACGGCUUACCAAGGCAACGAUGCAUAACCGACCUGAGAGGGUGAUCGGCCACACUGGAACUGAGACACGGUCCAGACUCCUACGGGAGGCAGCAGUAGGGAAUCUUCCGCAAUGGGCGAAAGCCUGACGGAGCAACGCCGCGUGAGUGAUGAAGGUCUUCGGAUCGUAAAACUCUGUUAUUAGGGAAGAACAUAUGUGUAAGUAACUGUGCACAUCUUGACGGUACCUAAUCAGAAAGCCACGGCUAACUACGUG